rnacentral:rRNA from 1 species
AGAAUCAACGCUGGCGGCGUGCCUAACACAUGCAAGUCGAACGAGAAAGUGGAGCAAUCCAUGAGUAAAGUGGCGACCGGGUGAGUAACACGUGACUAACCUACCCUACAGUGGGGGAUAACUCCGGGAAACCGGGGCUAAUACCGCAUAACAUCGUAAGAUCAAAGGAGCAAUUCGCUGAAGGAGGGGGUCGCGGCUGAUUAGUUAGUUGGCGGGGUAAUGGCCCACCAAGACAGUGAUCUGUAUCCGGCCUGAGAGGGCGCACGGACACACUGGAACUGAAACACGGUCCAGACUCCUACGGGAGGCAGCAGUGGGGAAUUUUGCGCAAUGGGGGAAACCCUGACGCAGCAACGCCGCGUGGAGGAUGAAGUCUCUUGGGACGUAAACUCCUUUCGAUCGGGACGAUAAUGACGGUACCGGAAGAAGAAGCCCCGGCUAACUUCGCGCCAGCAGCCGC